rnacentral:lncRNA from 1 species
UGUGCUACAGAGGAGGCUUUUGUUCUUAAUUGUAGAAGAAUAUAGUCCUAAAUAAACUGUCUGGAGAAUGUCUUCUAGCAUUAAGAAAUGGUGAAAUUUAUUUUGAAAAGUUUUUCAAGGGUGUAAUAAUCGCAAAAACAGCUUUCAGUAAUCUCACUAAGAUUGUUUCCAUGAAUGCUGAGAGCUGUGGACACUUGUGAACAUUCACGUAAUAACGUAAUACAAUGUCAUAAACAUGUGUCAGAGUCAGGGAAGGGACAGCAAAUUUGCAGCAGCCUAGAAAAAGAAAUAUCUGAAUAAAGAUAAAUGGCACUUACUUGUCAAAACAGAAUGAGGUUUAUAAAGAUGAGUAAUGGAGAUCAGCAUUAUCUCCAGGAGGUUCUCUGAUUUGCUUCAACCCUAUUACAUACACUCAAAUUUUGUGUGCUGUUCAGUUACAGGUAAGACUAAAAAGCCUAAUGUUCAAUUUUGGAGAUGCUGCCCACAAGAACAUUGGGUUGUGUUCCCACAUGCACAUAUGAGGAGGAGGAAAUGAAACAUCAAAAUGAAAAGAAAAUGGAAUUUCACACCAAUGGCUCUCAAGAGAAAACUGAAGAUUUAUUCAAAUAUUUAUCCUCAUUUUGUGAACUACUGACUCUCCUCAUCCAAACAUGCAAAUGGGAUUAAGCAUAGCUUUGGAUCUUAAACAAACAAACAGUCCAAAGUUCUUACUAUGGAAAUAAUCAUAUUCUUCACAUUUGACUUGAAGCUGAAUUAUUACCAGAAAAAAAUAGAUUGUGGCAUUACAGUGUGUUAGUAAAUAGUAGAUAGACACAGGAGGCUACAAAAAUAAAGUAAGAUUUUCUCCACAUAAUGUCCUGUAAAACAUGUACACUUCACCUUCAUAUGUGAUAAAAGACACAUUUGAAGUCAGAGAAAUUAGGAAAUCAGAGAAAGGAAUCGAUAGCAUGACAUUUAGAAAAGAAGUUUCUUCCUUGCUACCUAAUUCCAAAAGGAGAAAGAAAAUACCAUGAAGAACUUGUCCAUUCUAGAGGUGUUUUUGUUGCUCUUUAUUUCCUUUGUAAAACGAACAUCUUAAUCUGUUCACAGUUUGGCACAUUAGAUUCAUUUCAAUGACAAUUCUUCCAGAUAUCCAAGUAACAAAACUGAAGGAGAGAUGCCACAUCUCAUACUUCUUUCUAUCCUUGCCUAUUAACACACACCUGUGCUUAGAAAGGAAAUAUUAUUGGACCUCAACUAAGAACUUUCUUUUUUUUUUUCCUUAUCACACACUUGUUUAUCACAGUGUAAUAGUCACAGUCUUCAUGAGGUUUGGGCAUGAUUCUGAUCCUUGACAGCUGGAGACAUGCAACAUUUUUGGGGUUCUUUCGUCACUCAGAUUUGAUAAUAAAAAAAUGAAAAAUGUGUCUUCACAAUUUCUUUUCAAAGACAUUCCAAACAACUGGAAGUGGCUACUCAGGAUACAGGUAUAAGGACAGCUUUGCCAUUUGAAUAUCAAUAUUUUUAUUUUGUGUUUUCAUGUACAUCUGUCUGCUCGCAAUCUAAAUGCUGCAGUGAACACAGGAUGUACCGUGAACUAGAACUUCCAUUUGCUAGUAGAUUUUUUUUCAUAAAUGUUCUUUGUAGUCUAUAUGAAUAUGGGCAUUUUAAUUAUUGAUCAGAAGCAUUAUUUCUUAUUUGCAUCUGUGUUGUGGAAGAGUUCUUAAAAACUGAGCAGAAAUUCACGCACAUUUAGAUUAUUCUCUUUUCUGGCUGUUCAUUAGUUAAACGCUUAUGCAACACCCUUCCUUACAAACUGCACUACAUCUCUCCCAUUACUGCUCUGACAAAUCUUUCUGGGCCUGAUCUGCAGGCCUAUGAAGUCAAUAGGAGCCCAUCCAACAGCCCCAGCAGGCUUUGGGUCCAGUCUCUCUCACUUCCAACUUCUUAGUAAGAAAAAAUAUGCACAACACCAGAAGGUGUAAAAUAUGAAUCAGGUAAUAUUCUGUAAUGCAUGUGGGUAAAACAAUGGACUUUGGUCCACCUUUGUGACAAACAUGUCAAGAAAUCAGUGUGAUACCUGUUCACUGCAAAGUAGGAAUGAAAAUCCAGCAAAUAUUUUUGACAGAAGCUAAAUUUCCUUGGUUAAAAGGCUGUCUUUCUGAAAUGAAGUUUCUUUGAUACAUCUCUCUCACUUUGUUUUUUGCCCAGUCCCUUUACCUUUGAAAUAUAUUCUGCGCUGGCCAAACCCUCUUCCUCUGAAGUCAAUGGGAGUUUUACCAUUGAUUUCAAUGGGACAAUGAUCAUACACAGGUUGCAAAACACAGUGAGAAAAAAUAUCAUUGUCAAAGUUGAAAGUAUGAGAAACAUUCACACGAUUUGACAAUUCCACCGUAAAACCUCCAGCAUCAACCAGCUUUUCCGUGUGUUUCCCGCAACUCACGCCCGGCAGCGCAGGAUAACACAAAGCCCCGCGCCCCGGUGCCUUCAACACUCGGCAUCGGAGUUGAGCCCCAGUCUGCGAGGAGUUAGCACAGCCACGCGCUAAUCCGACAGCAAACAUUUUGCAAGCAUCAACCCUUCCCUAAGGGACGAGCAUUCUGCCGCCGGAGCCCAGGGAAGCGCAUGGGAGGGCGCAGCCAGGACGGGCAGCGGGCACCUGGCCGCUCCACUACUCAGGGUUUCCCGUAGAUUUUAAUAGAAGCUUGUGCUAGGAAACAGGUCAAGAAGAAGGACUAGCCAUCAAACCAUAUUUUUAACAUAGCUACUGCAGUUCCCCACAGAGAACAUUUUUGUCAUUGUUCCUCAGACAUGAACUUGUUGGAUCUGACUGUGCUUUCAUCUUUCUAGUGCUAUCCAGAAGUAACUCGAGUGGAAGUACACAAAAUACAGGGAUGCGAGAGUGGUAUAAGGGAGAUUUAAAAUGGACUUGUGAAAGAAUUUCUCCUGCCUUGCCAUAUGGAUAUUGAUUUCUCUCCCUCAGGCAGAAUAUAAUUGCCUGCUCUAAUUUAGCAUUGAUCUACCCACCCAAGUUUCUUAAAGUACUACACAGGCCUCAAUUAAAUUAUUCCUAAUACCACCUUUGUGAAGUAGGAUAGCUGUAAUUACUCACACUUAGAAAAUGGUGAGAGGUAAAAAGCGAUUUGUCCAAACCAUGCAGUGCAACAAGACACGAUUAAAGCAGGAGGCAAACAUACUAUGCCAUGUGCUGUACAUCAAAUUACCCUGAGUUUUUCUAAUAGCAAAAUAUUUGUUCAUCCAAUAUUUUGUGAUUCCAAUGAACCACACUUGGUUAGAUACUAAGUGUACCAGGACUUCUGUUGUUCUUAUCAAUACAUCUAUUUUCUCCUUCAUGAGACCUCUAGAGAUCAUUGAGUCCAGCCCCCUGCAAAGCGGGCCCCCUACAAAGGAAUAACACCUCUUGCUGCUGAAUUCAACAAAUGUGGUCUCGCCACUAUUUUUAAGUGUCAUUUUAUUUAUUAGUUCAAGAGAAACCAGCCAGACUGAUACUGAGGAGAAACAAGUACAAAGUAUUUUGUAUACACACCCAAUAGAUCAGAAAAAAUGCAGGUUUUAGCAACUGAAGGAGCCCAACGCUAAGGCAACACAAGUUAGGUAAUACUUUGAAUCAGAUAAAAAUGAUAAAGUAGUGCUGAGUAUUUGGGUGACAAACUGAACUUAGUCAGGUCUUCUAUGCAACAUGUGACUUGAAUUCAAUGAGAAGAAACAAAUAGCUGUAGAACAAGUGAAGGCAAUGACAGAGCCUUUAUUUGAGAAAUAGGCACUAGAGGAAAAGAUAUCAGAAAGGAAUUGACUCACCCCUCCCGGUAACAGUGUGGAGAGAGGGACGAGCUGAGAAAUGCGACCCUCCCCGGGUCCUGUCGCGCCGCUGGAGAGA